rnacentral:rRNA from 1 species
GAACGUGAACGGGAGCAAUCCUUAGUAAAGUGGCGUACGGGUGAGUAACGCGUAGGUAAUCUACCCCAGAGUCUGGAAUAACCUGCCGAAAGGCGGGCUAAUACUGGAUAGAGCGACGGAAUCCGUAAUUGGGUUUUUCGGGAAAGGGAGGUCGUAAGAUCCCUUGCUCUGGGAUGAGCCUGCGUCCCAUCAGCUAGUUGGUAAGGUAACGGCUUACCAAGGCGAUGACGGGUAGCUGGUCUGAGAGGAUGAUCAGCCACACUGGAACUGAAACACGGUCCAGACUCCUACGGGAGGCAGCAGUGGGGAAUCUUGCGCAAUGGACGAAAGUCUGACGCAGCCACGCCGCGUGAGUGAAGAAGGCCUUCGGGUUGUAAAGCUCUGUCGCCCGGGACGAAAAUCAUUAGAGUUCACAGCUCUAGUGACUGACGGUACCGGGAGAGGAAGCACCGGCUAACUCUGUG